AAGGUCCGGGCGUUAUCCGGAUUUAUUGGGUUUAAAGGGAGCGUAGGCGGUCUCUUAAGUAAGCGGUAAAAUCGCGGGGCUCAACCCCGCCGAGCCGUUUAGACUGGGGGACUUGAGACGGUGAGAAGUACGCGGAAUGCGCGGUGUAGCGGUGAAAUGCAUAGAUAUCGCGCAGAACUCCGAUUGCGAAGGCAGCGUACCGGCGCCGGUCUGACGCUGAGGCACGAAAGCGUGGGGAUCGA
rnacentral:rRNA from 1 species